GAUGAACGCUGGCGGCGUGCCUAAUACAUGCAAGUCGAGCGAACAGAUAAGGAGCUUGCUCCUUUGACGUUAGCGGCGGACGGGUGAGUAACACGUGGGUAACCUACCUAUAAGACUGGAAUAACUCCGGGAAACCGGGGCUAAUGCCGGAUAACAUUUAGAACCGCAUGGUUCUAAAGUGAAAGAUGGUUUUGCUAUCACUUAUAGAUGGACCCGCGCCGUAUUAGCUAGUUGGUAAGGUAACGGCUUACCAAGGCAACGAUACGUAGCCGACCUGAGAGGGUGAUCGGCCACACUGGAACUGAGACACGGUCCAUACUCCUACGGGAGGCAGCAGUAGGGAAUCUUCCGCAAUGGGCGAAAGCCUGACGGAGCAACGCCGCGUGAGUGAUGAAGGUCUUCGGAUCGUAAAACUCUGUUAUUAGGGAAGAACAAAUGUGUAAGUAACUGUGCACGUCUUGACGGUACCUAAUCAGAAAGCCACGGCUAACUACGUG
rnacentral:rRNA from 1 species